UGAUUCACGCCAACCGGGAAUGAGACUCGGUUCCAAUCCUACGGAGGCAGCAGUAGGAAUAUGGAACAAUGGCGCCAAGCUGAUCCAGCCAUGCGCGUGAGUGAGAGCCUCGGUUGUAAGCUCUUUGUCGGAAAGAAAAAGCGCCGGUAUACCUGGUGUCUGACGGUACCGGAAGAAUAAGCACGGCUAACUUCGUGCCAGCAGCGCGGUAAUACGAAGGGUGCAAGCGUUACUCGGAAUUACUGGGCGUAAAGCGUGCGUAGGUGGUUCGUUAAGUCCGAUGUGAAAGCCUGGGCUCAACCUGGGAAUGGCAUUGGAUACUGGCGGGCUAGAGUGCGGUAGAGGGUAGUGGAAUUCCCGGUGUAGCAGUGAAAUGCGUAGAGAUCGGGAGGAACAUCCGUGGCGAAGGCGACUACCUGGACCAGCACUGACACUGAGGCACGAGAGCGUGGGGAGCAAACAGGAUUAGAUACCCUGGUAGUCCACGCCCUAAACGAUGCGAACUGGAUGUUGGGCUCAACUUGGAGCUCAGUAUCGAAGCUAACGCGUUAAGUUCGCCGCCUGGGGAGUACGGUCGCAAGACUGAAACUCAAAGGAAUUGACGGGGGCCCGCACAAGCGGUGGAGUAUGUGGUUUAAUUCGAUGCAACGCGAAGAACCUUACCUGGCC
rnacentral:rRNA from 1 species